CCUACGGGAGGCAGCAGUGGGGAAUAUUGGGCAAUGGGCGCAAGCCUGACCCAGCGACGCCGCGUGAGGGAAGAAGGCCUUCGGGUUGUAAACCUCUUUCAGCAGGGAAGAAGCGAAAGUGACGGUACCUGAAGAAGAAGCACCGGCUAACUAUGUGCCAGCAGCCGCGGUAAUACAUAGGGUGCAAGCGUUGUCCGGAAUUAUUGGGCGUAAAGAGCUCGUAGGCCGUUUGCCACGUCGAUUGUGAAAAUCUGAGGCUCAACCUCAGACCUGCAGUCGAUACGGGCAAACUAGAGUGUGGUAGGGGAGACUGGAAUUCCUGGUGUAGCGGUGGAAUGCGCAGAUAUCAGGAGGAACACCAAUGGCGAAGGCAGGUCUCUGGGCCAUAACUGACACUGAGGAGCGAAAGCGCGGGGAGCGAACAGGAUUAGAUACCCUGGUAGUCCGCGCCGUAAACGGUGGGCACUAGUUGUUGGAACCUUCCACGGUUUCGGCGACGUCGCAAACGCAAUAAGUGCCCCGCCUGGGGAGUACGAUCGCAAGAUUAAAACUCAAAGGAAUUGACGG
rnacentral:rRNA from 1 species